rnacentral:lncRNA from 1 species
CUUUUCUGAAACCAGCCGUUUGGCCCCCCGACAGUGAGGGGGUGUCUGCAGUGCCCCUGCACAUGCCCCUGUCCCCUCGGUGGGCAGGGGUGGGGACAGGAGGGCGUCAUAGAGCUUGGCCAAGGAGGUCAAGGCAGCCAGGGCCCUAGGUGGGCGAGGGAGGGUGGCGAAAGUGACAGCAAAGAGUCCAAGGCGAUGGGGGCGGGGGAGAGUGCGUGGAAGGGACCCCACCAUAAAUCACCCAGAUAGUCACCCUCCCGAUGGCAGCCCGGCACGCACAGACAAGGGCUGUCUCUCCCUGGAAGAAAGGCUGGUUGGGUGGCCAGUGCCCAGGGGUCCCCAAGGUCUCAAGGACAAAGCCAGAUGACAGGGCACUCUAUUCAUUUAUCCACAACACCGGCAUUUCCAGGUAUUCCGGAAGCUUCUGUGUGGAUUACGUGUGGAUCUUCAAAGCAUCACUAAGAGGCGGGCCUCCUGUCAUCCCCACUUGGCGAGAAGAUAGGAGCAGGUCAGAGGGAGCAGACUCGCCCGAGGUCCCAGGGCGGGGGCGGCGCUGGGCAGUGGCCCCCCGCUGUCCUCCAGAGCCCCUUGCCCGGAGGGUCAAGACAGACCCGGUGCCCUCUGCGUCGGAUGCUGAUGGAACCCCCACCCCAGGGAGACCGCCACAUGUUGGAGACACGUGGAAGGUGGCAGGUGUUGCCUCUUGGUGCGUGCGGAUGAACCCAGCAGCGGCCAGCAAGCCCCACAGCCCGCCUCCCUCCUUCGUUCAUCAACGAGAGCCCAGGGGCCUGCCCGGCACCCGCCGGGGCCACGGAGGCCGGGCCACGCGCCAUCUGGGGGAACGUUCCAGCACAGGCAGAGGAUCUACUGAAGGAAUGAAUGAGUGGACGAGUGAACGAGGGAAUGACUCCACCGACAGGUCCUGGAUACAUCUGCGACUAGACUGGGGCAGUGAGGAGACCGCGGCCAACACGCCCUGCCACGGCCUCUGUUAAGGUAAGCGGAGCUCCCCCAACAAAAGCGACGGGCGGAGGACUGGACGUGCGGAUGGCCAGCAAGCCCACGAAGAGAUGCUCAGUGUCAUCGGCGAAAAGCAAGUCAAAGCCACGGCGAGACACCAUCUCUCACCCGCCGGGACGGCUGCAAAACCAACAAAAGCCGAAAGCCAGAAAAUAACAAGGGUCGGCGAAGACGAGGCGAGACCGGACGUGGAGACGUUGCAGGUGAGAACAUAGGACAGUAACAGCGGCCACCGCGGAGCGAGGUCUGUGGCUCCUGCAACCUGCGACCCCCCCCCCGCCCCCUGGGCUCUGCCGGAAGAAAGAAGGCAGGGACUGAGAUGCACCCCACCCCCACCGCGUCCCCGAGCGCAGGAGCCCAAACCACCCGACUGCCGUCUGUCUGUCCGUCUGUCGUGUGCUGGUUGGUAAAUCCGACCACAGAAAGGACCGCGACACGGGGGAGGUGAGAAAACGAGACGCCUCGGCUGCGAAGUGUCCAGAACAGACAGCACAGGGAGGGCUGGGGGCGGGGAUGCACCGCAGACUGGCCGCUUAAUGGAUGCCGGCCUCCUCUAGAGGGUGAGAACGUUCUGGAACGAGGAGGGGAGGCUGCCCAGCACUGUGAGUGUGCUAACUGCCGCUUGGCUAUUCACCCUAAAGUGUCUGGGGUUUUGUCUCGUGAUUUUCACCUCAAUAAAAAAACAACAAAGGUAAGUGGAGGCCA